GCAAACUUGGUCAUUUAGAGGAAGUAAAAGUCGUAACAAGGUUUCCGUAGGUGAACCUGCGGAAGGAUCAUUAUUGAAACAUUGUGAAGGAGGUUGAGCUGGCUCUUCUAGAGCAUGUGCUUGCCUUCUUUCAAUAUUCAUCCACCUGUGAACAUUUUGUAGAGGUCCUGGAAUAGGCGCAAGCCUUAGUACAGUUCUUCUAUGUCUUUACACACACUUAAUGUAUGUCUAGAAUGUUGUUUAAUUGGGUACUUAACUGGCCCUUUAAAACUAUACAACUUUCAGCAACGGAUCUCUUGGCUCUCGCAUCGAUGAAGAACGCAGC
rnacentral:misc_RNA from 1 species